rnacentral:rRNA from 1 species
GAUGAACGCUGGCGGCGUGCCUAAUACAUGCAAGUCGAGCGGAAAGGCCCCUCGGGGUACUCGAGCGGCGGACGGCUGAGUAACGCGUAGGAACGUACCCCAAAGUGAGGGAUAACUGCUCGAAAGAGUAGCUAAUACCGCAUGUGCUCUUCGGAGUAAAGCUUCGGCGCUUUGGGAACGGCCUGCGUCCUAUUAGCUAGUUGGUGAGGUAAUUGCUCACCAAGGCGACGAUAGGUAGCUGGUCUGAGAGGAUGAUCAGCCAGACUGGGACUGAGACACGGCCCAAACUCCUACGGGAGGCAGCAGUAGGGAAUUUUCCACAAUGGGCGAAAGCCUGAUGGAGCAACGCCGCGUGCAGGAUGAAUGCCUUCGGGUUGUAAACUGCUUUUAUGGGUGAAGAAUAUGACGGUAACCUAUGAAUAAGGAUCGGCUAACUCCGUGCCAGCCGCCGCCGUAA